UACGUAGGGUGCAAGCGUUAAUCGGAAUUACUGGGCUUAAAGAGUUCGUAGGCGGCGCAGAAAGUAGGGUGUGAAAGCCCUCGGCUCAACCGAGGAAUUGCGCUCUAAACUACUGUGCUUGAGGAACCUAGAGGUGAGCAGAACAGAUGGUGGAGCGGUGAAAUGCGUUGAUAUCAUCUGGAAUACCGGAGGCGAAGGCGGCUCACUGGGGGUUUUCUGACGCUGAGGAACGAAAGCCAGGGUAGCGAACGGG
rnacentral:rRNA from 1 species